AAAAGAAGCAACUCCUUGUUUGCUCUAUUAACUGUCCCAUUCAGACAGUGCUGAUUGCAGUUUUUCUCUUCUCUGUUUAAAAUACUCUAAAUCCAGCAGAAAGGGGUCAUAGCCCAGCCACAUUCACUAAAGCUCCUGGUGAAAGAGAAAAGGGGAUUAGAGAGAAGUGCGGCGGAGUGCUGAUGCAAGCUGAUGGGGAGCAUGUAUCUGCGCCGGGGCCUCGCUCCGCCCCGACAGGCUGCCUCCAACAGCGGAGGAGGCAAGAGGCAGCGCUCAAGUAAAUACCGAGGGGGCAGGCUUCUCAUGAACCAGCGCCGCAGUAGCCCACAUCCAAGUUCUGCUGUGGGAGUCUAAUCGGGAGUCUUUACUCAUGACCAAUGGCACUCUCAGUGUUGGCCUUUGGAAAGACCCCUCGCCCCACCUGUGACAUUGAAGUUACUGAAGAUCUUUACAGCUAUUGCCAAGGCAGUCAAACAAACAAGUUAAAGGCCAACACCCAGAAACAAGAGCUCUACCGUCUGAGAGGAAGAGAAACAGAACUGAUUACCUAGGAGAACUACUUUCACGCUUCCAGAGUAGUUUUUAUUUGGUGCCUAGGCACACGGCACUGAAGCAAGGUUUGAAUACCGUACUCACUGUAGAUGUAUAAAUAACUUGGCUUUCGUUAAUACAUUUCCCUCUAAAUCGUUCGUCAUCUUGUCUCCAUGAACCGCCUUCCCAACAACUCUGAGAGAGUCCAUUCAUGAGAAGGAUCGUAGUGAUUCAAGAAGGUGGCUCACCAUUGCUUUCUCAAGGGCAAAUAAUGACUGGAAAUAAAUGCUGAGCACAAAGUAAGAAAAAGCCGCUGUUGCAUCCACCAUAAAAUUAAGAUCUGCUGCUCGCUAGCAAUGGCAAGGAUGAGCUGGUAUACAACUACUGCAACGCUCAUCAAAGCCGGAAGAAAAACAGACCAGAGAGCUAUUGCUUCUCUGUGAGCACAGCAGGCAUUUUUGCAAGGUGCCUGCAAAGUCAUUAGUUUGACUACAGCCCAGAUGUACCAGAGAGAAUUGUAUUUGCAGAGUUAAUUAAUGGCAAAAUGAAAUGUUGUAGAAACACAGUGCCAGCUGUCAGGUUUAAGACCUGGCCUUGCUGGUAGAAUCCACUACUAAUUCUAAUACUCCAUAACAUUCCCUUGAUGAAUCCACUGCCAUAAACUUCACUUGGGACCUUGAUGUGUUACUGGGCCAGAUAUUUUUGCAACCCUUUAAAUUUUACAAAUAAAAUAUUGAAAGGUUACAUUGAUUGGCCAUCCUUCACUGCCUGGGCGAAUGCCAAAUGUGGCAGGUUAUUUCAUCAAUGAUUACGGUAACCAGUAAAAGAAACAAAUUCUUUUCUUGAGGCUUACUCCAAGUCCAGGACAAUUGUAGCUGUGCAUAAUAUUGUCAGAAUUUGUCAUUUGCCAGUAUCAAUCUCAGUUCCUAUUUCAGUUUGGGUUAUCUACUCAAGACUAUUGAAAAGUAAUCUACUCAAGACCAUUGAAAAUAUUACAUGAAAGACAUCUGUUGAGAAAGCUCCACCAUUAUCCCAAGCAGUGUUGUAAGAGUGGAGUACCGCACUGUUCCAUGAUGCAUGUGCAUAAUAGCUUGGGCAGUGAUUUCCCCUGAAUUAUUCCAAAGUGUCUCCAUGUCUCGAAUUCUUAUAGAGAGUAGGAAAUAGUAAUGACCAUCUGAGAAAUAAUAUGCAGGAGGAACUCAAAGGGUGGAGACGCACCUGAGGAGGGAAGGAGUUGCCCAUGUAUGACUUCUAAGAAUGGAGAGAAUAAAGAGGUGAAAGUGAGUGGUUAGAAAGAAGUCAAGAUGACUGGGGGACUGAGGACGUGUGUAAGAUGACAUACAAGCUAUACCGAGAAAGGUAGCGGGGUGGGAGUUGGGAGACAGUGCCAUAAGAAUGACGGAGGCAGACGAAGAAGUCCUCCAAUUAAAAAGUGUUAUGAUCCGAGGUCCUCCAAUUCAAAGGACUUUGAAUGUACGUGUUUCUUCUAAUUCAGAAACAGACUCUUUUGACGACCAAGCCCACACUGAACAUGCUGAACCUAUUUGCACCAAUCCUAUCCUGAUCCCAUUUUAGGAGAAUGAGCAAAGAAGUGGCAUAUAGAAUGCAGUGUAGGGAAGCGUAUGGCUAUGCACUUUGGUAGAAGGAAUAAAGCUGUAGACUAUUUUCUAAAUGCGAAACAAAUUCGGAAAUCAGAGCUGCACAGGGAUAUAGGAUUCCCUAAUGAUGAGCUUGCAGAUUGAGGCAGUAGUAAGGAAGGCAAAAAGAGUAGAAUAUAAAAGCAAGAUGCAUCUUAGUACUGAAGUUUUGUAAGGCAUUACUCUGACCAUAUUUGGAGUUUUGUGAGCAAUUUUGGGUUAGUUAUAUAAGAAUGGAUGGGCUGGCAUUGGAGAGGGGCUGUAGAAGGUUACAUGAAUGAUGCUAGGAAUGAAAGAAUUAAUGUAUAAGAAACGUUUGAUGGCUCUGAGCCUGUACUCAUAAGAGCUUAGAAGAAUGAGGGGAGAUCUUAUUGAAACCUACUGAAUAUUGAAAGGCCUAGAAAUGAGUAGAUGUUUCCAAUAGAGAGAGAGAGUCUAGGACCAGAGGGCACAGCCUCAGAAUAGAAGGAUGAUGAGAAAUGUAUUUAGCCAGAAGGUGGGGAAACUGUGGAAUUUAUUGCCACAGGUGGCUCUGGAGGCCAAGACAUUAAGUGCAUUUAAAAUGGUGGUUGAUAGGUUCUUGAUUAGUACGGUUACUAGGAGAAUGAGAUUGACAGGGAAAAUAAAUCAGCCAUGAUGGAAUGACAGGUCAGACAUGAUGGGCCAAAUGGCCUAAUUCUGCUCCGAUGUCUUGUAGUCUUAUGGAAAAAUUACACCAAAAAGAGGGAAUAUGCAAACUCCACACUGACAGCACAAGGAGCAUUGUGCCUCUGUGUCUCCUACAAGAUUGUUUAAGGAACCAUCACUUUAAACCAUGAAUCUUUUGAAAGUUCUGUCUGGUGUAGCAGACUGCAGCAGCCAAUGUAUUGUUUAUUCAUAAUGGAGCAUCUUCAGAAGAAUACUAUAACAACUGACCAGGUGAUCUCCUACUGUCAUAAAUGUUUUCCUAUGAAUUCAAGUUCCUAUAAGGAAAUUAAAUAUCCAAAAGCUAAGCAGCAAUAUGAUAGUUUCAGGAGAGGAUAAUAUUUAAGCACAUUUCUUUGUUUCCGAGAACUACAAAGAUCAGCCUACUCCCCUCCCCUCCCAGCUCCAAAUUACAAUCUGUGGUUCAUUUGCAGGCUUUCUAAAUGGGGGUAAUUAUUUUCAUUUGAUUCCUACUUAAAGUGGUUUGUACAAGAGCAAGGUGAGGCCAUUAGAUGUGGCAGGCUUAAUUGUUUGAAAUAGAUUGACCCCGGCAAUUGCUCUCCUCACCAGUUCUCUCAAGGAGCCACCUUUAAUUGCUUCAUGAACUCACAUAACCAAUGUACUUCCAUGGUAACAGCUAACAUUCAAUGACAGUUUGUGUGUAGAUAUUCUAGCUGUUUUAUAUGUUGUUACUGACUUCGUGAAACAUUCACUCUCGAGCUGAAGAAGGUGAUAAGAGAUUGCCUGUUCAAUACUCAGGAGCACCAAUUUGAUCUUCCAUUCUAAGUGUCCAAUUUAUUCUAGCCCCUCUAUGCCAAAGUUGAAUGUGCUGCCCUCUCAUUUUUAGUACAUCCCUUCCGCAACACAUGCAUGGUUCGUAUUCAUUCUAAGUUAAAUUGAAACUCUGGUGUGCUUUAAAAUUUGCCUUACGAAGCAAACACAAUUGAUUUUUUGAACUCAAAAUCCUGGCACCUGGAAUCCUUGGAUGUUCGUUUCUCUCCUUCCAAAAGCAGUCAGGUCUUUGCUCAUUCUAUUUGGGUUCUGACUAAUUCCCUGUGGAGGAAAGCAAUGGUUUAUAUUAUUUUGAUAUUGAACCCAGGUCUUUCACUGUUUUGCAGUAACUGAUAGUUCUGCAGAUUUAUCACAGAUUAACAAACAUUUCCAACAUUCCAUUUAGCACAUCUUUGCUCCGACUCCAAUUACUACCCAUCAUUCAUAUUGAACGCCCCCUUGUACAAAGCAAGCAAAUUGCCUAAAGUAUUGACUUCCCAUUGAGUUUCCAUGUUGCCUUUCAUAACACACACUGCCACUAUGCUGGCAUGACUUGUGUUGCUGACUUUUGGUCUAUGUGGUGCUUGCAUGUUCUCCCUGUAGUUUCACCUUGAGUGCUCCAGGUUCCUCCUACAUCCCAAAGAUUUGAUAGUUAUUAGAUUGAUUGGACACUAUAAAUUACUCCUAAUGUACAUGUCUGGAAAGAGAAGCUGGGAGACAUUAAUGGGCAUGUGUGAGGGUACAGGGAAAUAAGUGGAGAAAUGGGAAUUUGAGACUUGAUGGACUGACUGAGCUUUUAUUUUAUAAGAAAAUACAAAAACAUGGGUGGUAAAACUAAUUAGUUUCUUUGCAGUUUGUUUAUUUUCUAUUCAUUAACUUACUAUAUCUAACAAGUGUUUAACUGUUUAAAACCCUUAGUAUAGUCUUGACAAAACCUUAUCAAAGAAAAAAAAUGCACUAUCAGUCUCAUUUUCCCACCCUAUCAUGCCAUUUAUCAAGUGAAUCCCACAAGCCAUAGUGAAGACUGUGACCAACCUUCAAUCAUCCUUGCUAAUUCUUCAAAAAAAAAAGGUUGCUCAUUCAGUUGCGCUCUUUGAAUGAUUAUAAAGGCAUCACUGAUAGAUGAUGUUAAAAUGGGGCUAUUUCAUGACAAGAUCUUUUAAAUGAAAGUGACAUGGGGCAUUUAUUGAACCAGUAUGAAAUGAAACAAACUUACCAAAAUAUAUAAAUGCAUUAGUUAUAUCUUCUUGCAUCUGAAUAAAUAGCUAUA